rnacentral:lncRNA from 1 species
UGUUGACACAAUGGAUUGUACGCCAGCUCGGACGACUGCAUUCCCCCUUUUGGAGUCAUUAUUUCUGAGAGAUUUAAGGAACCUUGAGGAAAUAUGUCGUGGUCCACUCACAGCAGAGUUUUUUUGCAAAUUAAAGACCAUAAGGGUGGAAGGGUGUGAUAAAUUGAAAAAUGUAUUUGCCGAUGGUCAUAGGCAGAGGCCUUCAACAACUUCAGUCCAUUAAAGUGAGUAGUUGCCCAAAUAUGGAAGUGAUUUUUGCUGCCGAGAGAGGAGAUGAAUCCAGCAAAUUCCCCCUUUUGGAGUCAUUAUUUCUGAGAGAUUUAAGGAACCUUGAGGAAAUAUGUCGUGGUCCACUCACAGCAGAGUCUUUUUGCAAAUUAAAGACCAUAAGGGUGGAAGGGUGUGAUAAAUUGAAAAAUGUAUUGCCGAUGGUCAUAGGCAGAGGCCUUCAACAACUUCAGUCCAUUAAAGUGAGUAGUUGCCAAAAUAUGGAAGUGAUUUUUGCUGCCGAGAGAGGAGAUGAAUCCAGCAAUAAUAACGGUACUGAAGUGAUUGAACUCACUCAAUUGAGGACACUUGAGCUUCGUUCUCUUCCGCAGCUUACAAGCUUCUGCACAGGUGAUCUGCAUUUUGAAAAGGU